UUACUCUCUUCUUCCGCAAACCCACGAUUCAUAACUCUUAUCCCACCCAAAUUCUCUAGGUCUCCGCCAUUAUCAUUCCCCAUUUUGCAUCUCUCUAAAAUCAUUGUUUUAGAGCCGAUACAAGUGCUCUUGGAAGCUUUGGUUUUUCUCUCCAAUAUCGGAUUCAAUGCCACACAAGAUGAUAACCAGAGGUUUAUCAGCAACUACAGUUUCAGAGAGAAGAACUAAACUACACAACGACAAAUCGAAAGAAGUCCAAAUUGAGAAAUCUUCAAAAGAAACAAAAAAUCCAGUUGCUUCAAAGAAGAAAAAACCUAUGAAUGAUUCUUCAUGUGUCAAUCUUAAGGAAGUUGAUGCAAAAAAAAAUCAGAUACACG